GCAGAAGGGCGAGCGGUCGGCGCACAGCAGGCCCCGCAGGAGCGUGCGGCUGUGCGGCGAGUCCCAGAGGCCCAGCAGCUGCGGGCGGGGACGGCGUGACCCGGACGCCCCAGUGCACCCCGCCCAGCCGCGCGUCCCCCGCAGCCCUCCGAACGCCCGUGAAACCCGCCCGUCCCCGCAUCACGCCACGGUGCCCCUGGCCUUCCCUGCAGGCUGUCCGAGGCCUUGGGGCCAGUUUAGAGAGAGCCUGGGAUGGGGCCGCAUCGGAGACUCACCUCCUCCGGGAUCUGUAAGAACCUCCCAGCCCCUCUUGGCCUUCUCGGACACCCCUUAGCCCUGCCUCUCUUCAGCCCAGAGGUCCCACCUGGAACACGUGGAAGCCCACAGUGAGCUGGCUGGCUCCCGCCGGAGUUGAAGCCUCGCACCCAGCGGCCCUGGAAGACGUGGGUGUGCCAGCCGCCUCCCGCAGGGCUGGGGCCCAGCACCUCCGGGCUCAGCGAGCAGAUCUGGACGGUGUUGAAGUGGCGGAGGAAG